GGUCAACAUGUCGGAAGAAGAGUCAAUUUGAGGGUGAAAGGUUUGAGGAAGACAUGUGGAUCCAAUGAGAGAGUCCCUCCAGUUUACCAGCUGUAGGAGUCAUGAGAAUUACCUUGAAAGGGGCCUGCCAUUUAGGAGAGAGGGGUCGAGGAGGUAUAGGAACCCAGUCUGCCACCAGCACAAGUCCACUUUUCCUGCAAUCAGACUGCUAGAAUUCUCACACAAGUCUCGUUGGAUUGGUGGAUAUCAGACCAGGGUUUAUGAGUAACUCUUCCCGACUCCAAAGAAGGCUAUAACAGUGGUUCUCCACCU